rnacentral:tRNA from 1 species
UAAUUAAAUUGAGUCGUAGACUAAUAGGUAAGUCACCAAAAUUUGAGUUUGGAAUUUGUUUGUUCGAAUCAAACCGAUUCA